UACGUAGGGGGCUAGCGUUGUCCGGAAUCAUUGGGCGUAAAGCGCGCGUAGGCGGUCAGGUAAGUCCGGUGUGAAAGUCAUAGGCUCAACCUAUGGAUGCCGCUGGAAACUGCCUGACUUGAGUCCGGAAGGGGCGAGUGGAAUUCCUGGUGUAGCGGUGAAAUGCGCAGAUAUCGUAAGGAAGACCAGUGGCGAAGGCGGGUCUCUGGACAGUUCCUGACGCUGAGGCACGAAGGCCAGGGGAGCAAACGGG
rnacentral:rRNA from 1 species